rnacentral:tRNA from 1 species
GGAGAGGUGGCAGAGCGGCCGAAUGCGAUGGUUUUGAAAACCAUUAAGGUAGCAAUACCUUCGUGAGUUCGAAUCUCACCCUCUCCG